rnacentral:rRNA from 1 species
AGUGAACGCUGGCGGUAGGCCUAACACAUGCAAGUCGAACGGCAGCACAGUAAGAGCUUGCUCUUACGGGUGGCGAGUGGCGGACGGGUGAGGAAUACAUCGGAAUCUACUUUUUCGUGGGGGAUAACGUAGGGAAACUUACGCUAAUACCGCAUACGACCUACGGGUGAAAGCAGGGGAUCUUCGGACCUUGCGCGAUUGAAUGAGCCUAUGGCGGAUUAGCUAGUUGGCGGGGUAAAGGCCCACCAAGGCGACGAUCCGUAGCUGGUCUGAGAGGAUGAUCAGCCACACUGGAACUGAGACACGGUCCAGACUCCUACGGGAGGCAGCAGUGGGGAAUAUUGGACAAUGGGCGCAAGCCUGAUCCAGCCAUACCGCGUGGGUGAAGAAGGCCUUCGGGUUGUAAAGCCCUUUUGUUGGGAAAGAAAAGCAGCAGGUUAAUACCCCGCUGUUCUGACGGUACCCAAAGAAUAAGCACCGGCUAACUUCGUG